UACGUAGGUGGCGAGCGUUGUCCGGAAUUACUGGGCGUAAAGGAUGCGUAGGUGGAUAUUUAAGUGGGAUGUGAAAUCCCCGGGCUCAACCCGGGAACUGCAUUCCAAACUGGAUAUCUAGAGUGCAGGAGAGGAAAGCGGAAUUCCUAGUGUAGCGGUGAAAUGCGUAGAUAUUAGGAGGAACACCAGUGGCGAAGGCGGCUUUCUGGACUGUAACUGACACUGAGGCAUGAAAGCGUGGGUAGCAAACAGG
rnacentral:rRNA from 1 species